rnacentral:lncRNA from 1 species
CCCAGGGUUCUGCGUGCCAGUAAGCGCUGGGUGGGGCCAAGGCAACCCUCGCUGCGCCCCUUGGCACCCACACAGACUCCUCCUGUGUGGGGAGGGUGGGAACGCUUCUUACCUUCCGUCCCAUAAUCAACUGUCUUCUUUGAACAAUAGAUUGUGAAUAAUUUCACAUCCCGGAACAUUCUCUCUCCAGGCAUGAUUUUCGUGGCUGCAAAACAGCGGCUUCUCCAUCAUUACGCAACUGGCCUCUCUGAUCGUUUCCAGAUUGCUCUCGGCCAUGCACCUCCUUGUCUAAACUCCGUUCUGCACCACCAGCAGUAUCAUGGCCUGGGGAGAAGGGGCUGUGUGCUCCAUUCCAGGAUCAAGACUUUGUAGAAAUCAUGUUUUCUAGAUGGUUGUGGGCUGUUGUCAGCAGAAGGACUCAAGGCAAUUAACAUACAGCUAAUGAACUCCAAAGAGGCGCUUUGAUUUUUGAAGAAUCUGACUUGAGAACAAAUCAAGACUAAGACUAAUAUAGCCUCAUCUUUCAACAUAGGAGAGUCGGAAAACAGGCUGAGUCUGCGACACCCAAAUGCCUGCCACCACCACAUCCCGGUAUGUGGGUUCAGCACUUGACAGCUAACAGAUCUCUUUGCUAGAUACAGCAAUCACAUUUUCUGGUUAAGGGAGUGAAAUUAACAUUUACCUUUUUUUUUUUUUUUUUUGAGACAGAGUCUCGC